GAUGAACGCUGACAGAAUGCUUAACACAUGCAAGUCUACUUGAACUUCGGUUUGGGUGGCGGACGGGUGAGUAACGCGUAAAGAACUUGCCUCACAGUUAGGGACAACAUUUGGAAACGAAUGCUAAUACCUGAUAUUAUGAUUUUAGGGCAUCCUAAAAUUAUGAAAGCUAUAUGCGCUGUGAGAGAGCUUUGCGUCCCAUUAGCUAGUUGGAGAGGUAACGGCUCACCAAGGCGAUGAUGGGUAGCCGGCCUGAGAGGGUGAACGGCCACAAGGGGACUGAGACACGGCCCUUACUCCUACGGGAGGCAGCAGGGGGGAAUAUUGGACAAUGGACCAAAAGUCUGAUCCAGCAAUUCUGUGUGCACGAUGACGUUUUUCGGAAUGUAAAGUGCUUUCAGUUGGGAAGAAAAAAAUGACGGUACCAACAGAAGAAGUGACGGCUAAAUACGUG
rnacentral:rRNA from 1 species